GACGAACGCUGGCGGCGUGCUUAACACAUGCAAGUCGAACGGAAAGGCCCUGCUUUUGUGGGGUGCUCGAGUGGCGAACGGGUGAGUAACACGUGAGUAACCUGCCCUUGACUUUGGGAUAACUUCAGGAAACUGGGGCUAAUACCGGAUAGGAGCUCCUGCUGCAUGGUGGGGGUUGGAAAGUUUCGGCGGUUGGGGAUGGACUCGCGCCUUAUCAGCUUGUUGGUGGGGUAGUGGCUUACCAAGGCUUUGACGGGUAGCCGGCCUGAGAGGGUCACCGGACACAUUGGGGCUGAGAUACGGCCCAGACUCCUACGGGAGGCAGCAGUGGGGAAUAUUGCACAAUGGGCGGAAGCCUGAUGCGACAACGCCGCGUGCGGGAUGACGGCCUUCGGGUUGUAAACCGCUUUCGCCUGUGACGAAGCGUGAGUGACGGUAAUGGGUAAAGAAGCACCGGCUAACUACGUG
rnacentral:rRNA from 1 species